CAACCCUCAAGCUCUGCUUGGUAUUAGGCACCACCCGUCAGGGUGUGCCCUAAAGACAGUGGCGGUGCCAUCUGGCUCUAAGCGUAGUAAUUCUCUCGCUAUAGGGUCCUGUGGAUGCUUGCCAGCAACCCAAAUUUAUCUAU
rnacentral:misc_RNA from 1 species